GGUACCGUGGCGAAGUUGGCUAACGCUGGGCUCUGCAAAAGCUCCAUUCGCAGGUUCGAGUCCCGCCGGUACCUCCA
rnacentral:tRNA from 1 species